CCUACGGGCGGCAGCAGUGGGGAAUAUUGGACAAUGGGGGGAACCCUGAUCCAGCCAUGCCGCGUGUGUGAAGAUGGCCCUCGGGUUGUAAAGCACUUUCAGUGAGGAAGAACGCCUGGUGGUUAAUACCCAUCAGGAAAGACAUCACUCACAGAAGAAGCACCGGCUAACUCCGUGCCAGCAGCCGCGGUAAUACGGAGGGUGCGAGCGUUAAUCGGAAUUACUGGGCGUAAAGCGCGCGUAGGUGGCUUGAUAAGCCGGUUGUGAAAGCCCCGGGCUCAACCUGGGAACGGCAUCCGGAACUGUCAAGCUAGAGUGCAGGAGAGGAAGGUAGAAUUCCCGGUGUAGCGGUGAAAUGCGUAGAGAUCGGGAGGAAUACCAGUGGCGAAGGCGGCCUUCUGGACUGACACUGACACUGAGGUGCGAAAGCGUGGGUAGCAAACAGGAUUAGAUACCCGAGUAGUC
rnacentral:rRNA from 1 species